AUGCAAGGGGAGAUCUGCAAAAUAAAGUCAAUAUUGCUUGUUACUUGGUGGCUCACGUGUCAUCUUACACAUUUACUUUUAAGCUCAAAAGAACUUUGGAUCCAUUUUCCCCAAGCUGAAGCAUGAAGAAGAGAUGACCAUGCAUUCACGGCAUAGACUGAGUGCCUACUGCACCUGAGACACAGCUGGUGACAAGACGAGGAAUCUGCCUUCGCAGAGCUCACGCUCCAUCCCACGUUCUGCUACUUAAAAACUCUUGCAAAUAAAAAUUCACAAUAUCCAUCCGGAAAAAUCCUGGAAAUACCUCAUUUUAUACUGAAUUUUAGAAAGGAUAAGGACAUCAAGGCACAAGAAAUGAACAAACUCAAGGCACGUGGCUAAUGAGUGGUGGAUGUUGGCAUUCACACCCAGACAGCCUGACCCAGCUUAACUACUGAACCAGGUCCUAAGACAUGAGGCAAAAAUUGUUCUGCCCCGGAUGGAAAGAGCUUUGCAGGACUGUUGCCAGCAACAGCCAGGGUCUGUCUGCAUGCCAAGCUCAGAGAAGUACCUAGAAGAGAUCUGGACCAAAACUCACGAACCACAGGUUCAGACUGCAGUGGGGCUGAUAGAGACAAUCUGUUUCAGCUCAGUGCAGCAUGCAUUUAUUGAGCACCUAUUGUGUGCAAGGUCUUGCUCUGGCUCUACCCCCAGUUUGGAGAAAUGAAGACUAUUUUUACAGAUGAACACACGGAGACUGCAUGUAGCUUGUGCUCUGUCCAGUGUGGGGAGAAGUUUAUCAUUGCUUGCCAUAUUGGAAUCAAGAGAGGAUAUAUGGCGGUACUCCCUCCUGGGAGUUGGAAGGUUUUGCAGAGAAACUUGAGGAUGAACUGCACAACACUGCCAUCUGCCUCCUCUGAGUGGGGAAGCUCCAACAUGCCCUCUGGCUUGACUUGGGACAGAGGAGAAGCCUUCCCGGAUAAGGAAUUUGGAAGUGCAGAGAAGUUAUGUAACUGUCCCAGUCAAGGCCACUGAGGAGUUGAGCUCUGCCGCUGAAGCAGGUUCAUGAUCUUGGGGAAGUUAAUUUACUUCUGGGGAAGGUCAUACUACAUGAUCUUCGUGGUUCCUCACUGCUCUGAAGAUUUUUUUGCAUGUGGCUCCUUGGAAGGGACUCGGAAUGGUGAAGAAACUUUCUUUCACAGUGACUUCAAAUAUCUUUGGGAAUUUGUGCUCUUUAAUCCGUGCUUGAGAAGAAAAGACAAAGCCUGUGGAAUGGUUUGGGUGUGGUGUCUGCUGAAUUUAUAAAGAACAAGAGAUGCAGUGAUACUAGAAUGUGAGCAUGUGAGUGAUUACUGAUCUGUGAAUGCAGUGGUCCUCACACUUGUUCCAGUCAUAAAGGACAUGCAGGCCACGAGGCUCCUUGACAGGAAGAGGACUUUAUCCCAUCAUGAGAACGAUUUCCCCAGCGGCAAGUAUAAUCAUAUCAUACUUAACGUGACAAAGUCACGAUCUGUGAAGCGAAACCUAAAUAGCUAAGUUCUUAAAUUUCUUUGAAAACUUUGAUGGCUACUUAUUAAUUCACAUCUUCCUCAACAGCAUUUGCUA